AAUAUUACAAUAUAAUUGCAAUAUAAUUGCAAUAUAAUUGUAAUAUUAUUGCAAUAUUAUUGCAACUAAUAUUAGGUAAUCGAUUUUAUGAUUGUAACUGAAGUUACAAGCAUGCUUUCAUUGGACUUUAUACUGCAGUGUAAGUGCGGCCAGGCAGGUUUCUUCGGCGCACGUUAGACAUGGCUUGCAUGAGCCCAGCAAACCUGUCUGGCCACACAAGAUACCCGUGCAAAAAUAACAGUUAUUUAUAAGUAAAGACUCAUAAAAUUUUAUUAAUGGUGAAUAUAUGUGCAAUGAAACGAAAUUUUUUUAAUAGAAAGUACGAGAGAAGAACUUUACAUUUUACGGCUGAGUCUACUUCUUCUGAAGAGGAAAUUACUAAUAGUAGUUCUCAGUCCGACUGUAGCAAUACAGAUGAUAAUGUUAAUGAUGGUAGUUUUACCCAAGAGACAGAAGAAAUUGUAUCUAUAGUAUCUGAGGAAGAAAAUCAAAUUCUAGUGUCUGAGGAAGAAUCGAGUGCUUCCAUGUUUCAGUUCUUUAGUUCUAAUCCAUUUGAAUGUUCUUUAUUGGAUUCAAUUGUUAACAAAAAGUUUAUGUUUUUAACCUUGUUGUAUUUAAUGAUUAGCAAUUCAUUUACUGAAAUCGCAUUUGAUAGAUUUUUGAAGACUUUGCUGAUUUUUCGCUGUAUAAAUGACAUGCCGUCAUCUCAUAAAAUGAUUCGUAGAUUUGUUACUAAAAAUAUAUUCUCCCAUACUGAACCAACGCAUAAAUAUUAUUGUCAUAAUUGCUGCACAGCUUUAGUUGACACGUGUAAAAUAAAUACUCAUUGUUCAUCCCAUAUCUUUAUAUUAAUUUAUCAUUAGCCAAAUGAAACUUGUUUUAUUUCUGAAUUUGGAUGCAAUUAAAUCAUAUCAAUUGGAAAUUAUGUCAGGUAAAAGAAAGAGUGAUUUUAUUUCUAGACCAAAUUUUGUUGAAAAUAUGAAGUCUGCAAAUGUUUUACAUAUUCAUUUAUUGAUGUCAACAGAUGGUGGAGAACCAUACACAAAAAAAAAGAUUACAAUGUGGCCAUUUCAUGCUAUUAUUUUAGAUUUACCAUCUUAUAAACGAUUCCUAUUUGAAAACACACUACUUCUUGGUUUAUGGUUCUCAUUAUUAAAACCUAAUUGGAAUGCUUAUUUAAAGGAGUACAUCAAUGGAAAACUGUUUGAAACACCCCUUGAAAUUAACAAUAUCCAAGUAGUUAUUCAUAUUGUUGGUUUUGUUUUCGAUUUGCCUGCAGUGGCUUCAAUCAUCAAUCAUAAGCAGUAUAAUGGUGAAUUUGGAUGUCACUAUUGCGAACAUCCUGAUAGAACAAUUGAAAGAAAACAUGGUUCCGCUAGAAUUUAUUCACAUUCAGAUACAAAUUAUAAUCUUAAAACAUCUGAAAUGUAUGCCAUAUAUGCUAGAUUAGCCGAAAAAUCAAAAGUAUCUAUAUUUGGAAUUAAAGGCUCAAACAUCUUUAGUGACAUUUCAUUUAUUAAAGUGCCAGAUAUGAUACUUAUUGAUGUGUUACAUUUGUUUUACGAAAAUUGCUCAAAAAAGCUUUUAGUUUGUUUAUUUUCUGUUACCAAUAAACACGAAUCAUUUUUUAUUGGUAGUGCAAAAUUAAAUGCUAUGGAAAUCUUACUUGCUGAUCAAAAAAUGCCACAUAACAUGCCCAAGCCAUUAACUAUUAAAUCAUUCACACAUUGGAAAGGCCAUGACUUUAAAAACUUUAUUUUAUACUUAGCAGUUCCAUAUUUUUUACCAUAUUUGAAUCCUGACUGCAUGAUGAUGAUUUAUUCUCUAGUAAUUAGUAUGCGUUUGUGUAGCAGUGAAAUAUGUUUAGAUAAGGUGUUGCUUAUUAGUCAGCUGUUUAACUUUUAUCAAAAAUCAUUGUCUGAGUUGCUUCCUUUAU